rnacentral:rRNA from 1 species
UACGUAGGGGGCAAGCGUUGUUCGGAAUUACUGGGCGUAAAGGGCGCGUAGGCGGCACGACAAGUCGGGAGUGAAAGCCCGGGGCUCAACCCCGGAAUGUCUCUCGAAACUGUCGAGCUAGAGUGCAGAAGAGGCAACUGGAAUUCCCAGUGUAGCGGUGAAAUGCGUAGAUAUUGGGAAGAACACCUGAGGCGAAGGCGGGUUGUUGGGCUGACACUGACGCUGAGGCGCGAAAGCCAGGGGAGCGAACGGG